rnacentral:rRNA from 1 species
AUUGAACGCUGGCGGCAGGCCUAACACAUGCAAGUCGAGCGGAUGAAGGGAGCUUGCUCCUGGAUUCAGCGGCGGACGGGUGAGUAAUGCCUAGGAAUCUGCCUGGUAUUGGGGGAUAACGUCCGGAAACGGGCGCUAAUACCGCAUACGUCCUGAUGGUGAACGUGGGGGAUCUUCAGACCUCACGCUAUCAGAUGAGCCUAGGUCGGAUUAGCUAGUUGGUGGGGUAAAGGCCUACCAAGGCGACGAUCCGUAACUGGUCUGAGAGGCUGAUCAGUCACACUGGAACUGAGACACGGUCCAGACUCCUACGGGAGGCAGCAGUGGGGAAUAUUGGACAAUGGGCGAAAGCCUGAUGCAGCAAUGCCGCGUGUGUGAAGAAGGUCUUCGGAUUGUAAAGCACUUUAAGUUGGGAGGAAGGGCAGUAAGUGAAUACCUGGCUGUUUUGACGUUACCAAAAGAAUAAGCAACGGCUAACUUCGUG